rnacentral:rRNA from 1 species
AGUGAACGCUGGCGGUAGGCCUAACACAUGCAAGUCGAACGGCAGCACAGUAAGAGCUUGCUCUUACGGGUGGCGAGUGGCGGACGGGUGAUGAAUACAUCGGAAUCUACGUUUGCGUGGGGGGUAACGUAGGGAAACUUACGCUAAUACCGCAUACGACCUACGGGUGAAAGCAGGGGAUCUUCGGCCCUUGCGCGAUUGAAUGAGCCGAUGUCGGAUUAGCUAGUUGGCGGGGUAAAGGCCCACCAAGGCGACGAUCCGUAGCUGGUCCGAGAGGAUGAUCAGCCACACUGGACCUGAGAAACGGUCCAGAUCCCUACGGGAGGCAGCAGUGGGGAAUAUGGGACAAUGGGCGCAAGCCUGACCCAGCCAUACCGCGUGGGUGAAGAAGGCCUUCGGGUUGUAAAGCCCUUUUGUUGGGAAAGAAAAGCAGCAGGUUAAUACCCCGCUGUUCGGACGGUACCGAAAGAAUAAGCACCGGCGAACUUCGU